GUUCCUUUGAUAUCUUUUAUAAUAUUUUGCUGCAACAUCAUUUUUUUUUUAGAAAGACCACCCCUGGCACAGGAAAACAUGAAACUAUUUCAAAGUAUAUUAAAUUUCCUGCUUGUUUCCUUACUAUUGUUUUAAAUGUCACUUUGGAGAUGAUAGUUACACUGAAUUUUAAGGAGAGAAAAGCAACCAGCUAACCAAAGAACAAGUGCAAAAUGAUUUCAGCAAGGAGAACCAGGCCACUGGAACACACAACUGCCUGCUUUGGGAGACCAUCCAUUUCUCACCAGUGGAGAGGUGCCCUGUGAGAUGAACACUGCCUUGUCCAAAGGAUAUUGUGUGGGAAGCAUGGUUUGGCAAGCAUGAUAUGAAACAUCAUGUAACUGGCCAUCAACAACUUUGAGAAACAUAAUCUACAGACAGGAGAGAGAAUCAGCCUUGUGUCCAGAGACAGCAACAGAGUAAGAAGGAGGCAGAUUGUGCCCAGCGGUGGCUAAGGCAGAGGAGCGCUGCUCCCACAGCACCUCUGGCUGCCAGAGGAGUGUGGUGUAAGCAGACUCAACUGCCCUGGCUGCCGUACCAGACCACCUUGGCCUUCCCUUCAGUUUCCGCCCAUUUGAAUUUCCUCAGUGGCAAUACUAGUAAUUCUGUCUUGAAAGUUAGACCAAAAUAGCAUGUGCCCAGUUUGUUCUAAGUGAGAAACAGACAUUUUGAAGGCUGUUCUCUUUAUUCCAGCACAUUUUCCCAAGUUUCCUCAGUGUUCUCCAUUUAGUUUUAACAGACAUUUUCUGACUGGAUUUAUGCUGAACAAGGACAAUACACAUCAGCAGAGACUUUUCCAACUUCCCAGCAUUUCACAGCAGAGCUGCAGUAAAGGCAAAGGACACGAAGAGAAGGCCCAUGUGGCCGAGUCCGGAAGGAGCGGCAGCUUCUCCUGCCCAUGGGUUCUGGAUCCCUCCCAUCCAGGGGUAAUGCUGCAUGCAGACUCCUUUCCCAUCGAGUUUUCAAAUGGGACCUGGCUCUCACAUGCAGACAGACGCAUCCAAACCCCUGUCGACCACCCUCUGCGUGGCCACCAGAUACCUACAGCUCCAAACCGAAAAGUUCCAAAAUGGAAACAUCGUCUCCCCCAAGGCGGUCCCUCUCUGUUCUGUGUUUUCUUGGAUUCUACAUGUGUAUUUACCACCAUCCAUCAAAAGGCCUAACUCUCAGCCAAAGUGUCAACCUCUCUCCUUUUAUUUCACUGCCUGGGACUCAAUUCUCACAUGCAGAUCUGCUGAUUCAAGGCUGAGCCCCUACUUUCUUCCCUAAUUCGCACAGCAAGCCAACAUUGCCCUUAUCCUAAAUCAUUCCAGGGCCAGGUACCAGGCAAUGAGAGACCACCCUAGGCUGUGUACCUGUCCCUGCCUUUAUUUCCCCAUAGAAGCCUCAAUACAGGUUCUGGUUGGGGCCUUCCUCUUGCUCCUGUCUUCUGUCUCCUGACCUCCCUGAGCUUCCUGCACCGUCCUGUGUGGUGUGAUGUGCCACUCCUCCUGGGAAAAUAUAAGCAAUAAAUCUUUCAGUCACUCAGUCACCUCCGUAACUAAAAUCCUGUGGCUACAAAGGUGAUGCUCUCCUUCUGCCAUCACAGAAUGAGAUCGAGGAUAAGGUGUACCUGAUUUGGAGGUGUCGUCUCAGCCUUAACUCUCACUACUUUGUGGUGUCAUUUAAGGAUGUCUACCACUCAGUUUAUCAAGAAAGCAGUGAUAGUGAGGAGGCGCACCGGACUCAGCACAAAAUAUAUAGCAAGUGUCACUCCCCCAGGCAUAUGUAUCAGCGCACAUGAGCCUCCCUCUCCUCUUACCCUCUGGACACUAGUGAGGGUAAAAAUUGCCUGGCUUGCAAAGUUUUUUGAAAACUGGCACUUGUAGAGUAUGUGCUGUGAACUACACAUGGAGGUGAGUGGAACCAAUGUGUGUGUGCUUGUGGUGGUACAUGCACUUCCUGUGAUUCUCUGGAGGGUCAGUGCUUACAGACAUGCUAAAGGUGAUGGAGCUCAUCUGCGCAGGGCCAGGUCAGGAUCUAUGCUAUAUCUGCUGUUUUUACAACUCCAUCCUGACUCCCAGGGAAGACCACACUAAGAGUCAGUCUUGGUUGGGCGCAGUGGCUCAUGCCUGUAAUCCCAGCACUUUGGGAGGCCAAGGCAGGAAGAUCUCUUGAGGUCAGGAGUUUGAGAUCACCCUGGUCAACAUGGUGAAACCCCAUCUCUGCCAAAAAUACAAAAAUUAAUGGGGUUUAGUGGCGGGCACCUGUAAUCCUGGCUGCUUGGGAGUCUGACGGAGGAGAAUUACUUGAACCUGGGAGGCAGAGGUUGCAGUGAGCUGAGAUUUCACCACCGUCCUGCAGUUUGGGCAAGAGAGUGAGAUUCUAUCUCACACACACACACACACACACACACACACACACACACACACACACAUCAGUCUUAAUAGAGGAUCCUCCAAGAAUUCUCCAAGAGAAAGGACAGGAAAGCAAUGUGUUCACACUUGGCCUGUGGAGAAACCUCUCAUUCACACCAGGACCUAGCUAGCUCAGUGAGUAUCUAGACACUUUCAAAGCUAGAAAUGUUGAAGCUUGCCAAAGUUCCUUUUCGAUAUAAGAUUUUGUUUUGCUUUUUUCCUGGUUAGGUCAAGGUCAAGGUGAUUUACUGUUAGCAUCUGUGGUUUUCUGGAAUCCCAUCCUUCCCAAUUUUAAAGAAAUGGUUCCCGAAAGGUCUAAACCACAUUGUUAAUCCAAGUGAAAAACAAAGCCAUUCUAAGAAGAUUUAAAUUAAACCAGUAACCCGUCCUCUUCUUAUCUUUUUCUUGUAAAUAUUGCUUGAUUCUUCCUAAAUUCCCAAAGUGGAGUUUAUUACAAAGAGCAUUCAUUUAGACUAGAACUACUUGUAUACAAUUUUGUAUGGUUUCCGUGGAAAAAGUGAAUAGAACUGUGUUGCAGUGUUGUGGUUUUACAACUAAAUUGAUGACAGUCUUUGUGAAUCUGCAUGGAAAAUGUAUGCCUGCCUGACAUCUUCUCUAUUAAAUAAAGCUUUUGUUUUCCACGCUUAGUACUGAACCUGGAAAGCUAAUAUCCACGUGGAUGAUCCCAAAGGUGCUGGUGUAUUUAAUUUAACUGUAUUGAUUUUUGUAUGGUCAGGAGUGAAUAAAAAUAAAGCAUGUCAGA